UACGUAGGUGGCAAGCGUUGUCCGGAUUUACUGGGCGUAAAGAGCGCGCAGGCGGUCGUUCAAGUCGCGUGUGAAAGCCCCCGGCUCAACUGGGGAGGGUCACGCGAUACUGAUCGACUCGAAGGCAGGAGAGGGAAGUGGAAUUCCCGGUGUAGUGGUGAAAUGCGUAGAUAUCGGGAGGAACACCAGUGGCGAAGGCGACUUCCUGGCCUGUUCUUGACGCUGAGGCGCGAAAGCUAGGGGGAGCAAACGGGG
rnacentral:rRNA from 1 species